AGGCAACGCUAGGGGUCCUGCAGCCGCCACCGCGGCUGCGGGUGAGAAACACCCUCCGAACCUGAUCUGGGUAAUGCCAGCGAAGGGAAGCAUGCGGAUUCCGGU
rnacentral:ncRNA from 2 species